GCAAGUCGAACGAGAAAACACCUUCGGGUGUGAGUAGAGUGGCGCACGGGUGAGUAACACGUAGGUGACCUACCUUACUGUGGGGGAUAACCCCGAGAAAUUGAAGCUAAUACCGCAUACGAUAAACGAAAUUGAAAAAGUUUAUGAAAGAGUGCCUCUCCUUGGAAGCACUCACUGGAAGAUGGGCCUGCGGAGCAUUAGCUUGUUGGUGGGUAAUGGCCUACCAAGGCGACGAUGCUUAGCUGAUCUGAGAGGAUGAUC
rnacentral:rRNA from 1 species